rnacentral:rRNA from 1 species
GAGUUUGAUCCUGGCUCAGGACGAACGCUGGCGGCGUGCCUAAUACAUGCAAGUAGAACGCUGACUACUUUAGCUUGCUAGAGUAGAAGGAGUUGCGAACGGGUGAGUAACGCGUAGGUAACCUGCCUACUAGCGGGGGAUAACUAUUGGAAACGAUAGCUAAUACCGCAUAACAGUGUUUAACACAUGUUAGAUGCUUGAAAGAUGCAAUUGCAUCACUAGUAGAUGGACCUGCGUUGUAUUAGCUAGUUGGUGGGGUAACGGACCACCAAGGCGACGAUACAUAGCCGACCUGAGAGGGUGAUCGGCCACACUGGGACUGAGACACGGCCCAGACUCCUACGGGAGGCAGCAGUAGGGAAUCUUCGGCAAUGGGGGCAACCCUGACCGAGCAACGCCGCGUGAGUGAAGAAGGUUUUCGGAUCGUAAAGCUCUGUUGUAAGAGAAGAACGUGUGUGAGAGUGGAAAGUUCACACAGUGACGGUAACUUACCAGAAAGGGACGGCUAACUACGUGCCAGCAGCCGCGGUAAUACGUAGGUCCCGAGCGUUGUCCGGAUUUAUUGGGCGUAAAGCGAGCGCAGGCGGUUUAAUAAGUCUGAAGUUAAAGGCAGUGGCUUAACCAUUGUUCGCUUUGGAAACUGUUAGACUUGAGUGCAGAAGGGGAGAGUGGAAUUCCAU